GACGAACGCUGGAGGCGUGCUUAACACAUGCAAGUCGAACGAUGAAAUGGAGCUUGCUCCAUGGUUUAUUGGCGAACGGGUGAGUAACACGUGAAUAACCUGCCCUUAAUGUUGGAAUAACCCAGGGAAACCUGGGCUAAUGCCGGAUAAGUAAACCUGUGGCAUCACAUGGUGUUGGAAAGCUUUUCGAUUAAGGAUGGAUUCGCGGCCUAGAAGCUUGUUGGUGAGGUAAUGGCUCACCAAGGCGACGACGGGUAGCCGGCCUGAGAGGGUGAACGGCCACACUGGACCUGAGAAACGGCGCAGACUCCUAAGGGAGGCAGCAGUGGGGGAUAUUGCGCGUUGGACGAAAGGCUGACGCGACGACGCCUCGUGAGGGACGAAGGUCUUCGGAUUGUCAGCCUCAUUCAGCAGGGACGAAGCGAAAGUGACGGUACCUGCAGAAGAAGCACCGGCUAACUAUGUGCCAGCCGCCGCCGUAA
rnacentral:rRNA from 1 species